UACGUAGGGUGCAAGCGUUGUCCGGAAUUAUUGGGCGUAAAGAGCUCGUAGGCGGUCUGUCGCGUCGGCUGUGAAAUCCCGAGGCUCAACCUCGGGUCUGCAGUCGAUACGGGCAAACUAGAGUAUUGCAGGGGAGACUGGAAUUCCUGGUGUAGCGGUGAAAUGCGCAGAUAUCAGGAGGAACACCGGUGGCGAAGGCGGUUCUCUGGGCCUGUACUGACGCUGAGGAACGAAAGCGUGGGGAGCAAACAGG
rnacentral:rRNA from 1 species